CUUACAGGAAGUGGCCUGUCUGACCAUUUCUUGCCCUCCUUGAUCAUCUCUAACAAAUACAGGGGAUCUCUAGCAUGACGUGACACUUCCUACGGCUCCCAUGGGCUCUCAGAAGGCGGGAAAAAGCUGAACGAUGUAAUUCCAUCCCCAGGCUGAAACACAUUAGCGUGUUUGGCAAGUGCUCUAUCAGAGGGCCAUCAGACUGAGGCUCGUGCAUGAGGGGAUAGCAUGCUUUUACUUUCACUCUCUUUGUAAUAAAAAACGAUUUCCCGGUCGGAAUAUUAUCGCUUUUUUACAAGAAAAAUGGCAUAAAAAUUGAUUUUAAACAGCGGUUGACAUGCUUCGAAGUACGGUAAUGGAAUAUUUAGAAUUUUUUUGUCACGAAAUGCGCCGUGCUCGUAACCCUUCUUUACCCUUUCGGAUAGUGUCUUGAACGCACGAACAAAACGCCUCUAUUUGGAUAUAACAAUGGAUUAUUUGGGACCAAACCAACAUUUGUUAUUGAAGUAGAAGUCCUGGGAGUGCAUUCUGACGAAGAACAGCAAAGGUUGUAAGGCAACACAAUAGGAAAAAUGCCAAGGGGAGUGACUACUUUCGCAAGCCACUGUAUACAGAGGAGGAGGAAUACAAAAGGUAUGUCAGUUGACUUCACCCCCCCAUACCUCUGAUGAAUAUAACAGGAAACCUGUUCGAUCACCAUGCACUGCACAAUCAUUCUGGCUAUGCAUACGGACAACAUUAACACAUUUUAAAGGGUUCUUCGAAGAACUUAUAGGGGUUCCCUCACAGUUUCAAUUUGAAGAACCCCGCCUAAAGGAUACUCCAGGAACCUUUUAUUUUUAGAGUGUAAAACCCUUCAUAUAGGGUUCUAGGCAGAACCCUUGAUAGAGGAUUCGAGUUAGAACCAUAUACAUUGGGUUCUUUGAAUAACCCUACAUAGAAGGUUCUAGAUAGAAACCUCUGCAAAGGGUUCUACCCAGUACCAAGAAGGGUUCACCUAUGGGGACAAACCGAAGAACACUGUAUGGUUGUAGUUAGCAUCUUUUUUCUAAGCGUGUAAUGUCACCAGCACCUCUGAUCUCAUCUAGAUUGCUACCUGGGAUUGGAAAAGAUCUUGUGUAUCAACGUUGCAAGAUGGACAUUCAUGUCCGAAUCCAAUUUCAAUACGACUCAACCUUGACCAUUGCAAGCUCAUUUUAUCAGCAGGUUUCUUUUUUUCAAACAUCCCUUUUACCAGGGCGGUAGUAGAAUACAACAAAAAGCAAUAUCUCCUGUAGACUAGCUGCUUAUUAUUUACAAAACACUUGUCAAUUUCUAUCAUGAAACACUCCUGGAAAUACCUAAGAUUUUGCUCCUUCAAUUUGGCCGGGACAUUAGGGGCUCUGAGAAAUAGCCUUCCUGUGCCAUUUUUCCUCUCUUUUUUUUCUUCAGGAAAUGCCACCAUUUGGAUGGUGACAGUGAGAGUCUGAUUGUCUCUCCUCCCUGGGCACUUGCCUCAGACACACGGUGACAUUUGCAGAUAAGACUUUAAGUGAUUGAUUGAUCUGCAGAAAAAUGGGCAGAAUGUGAUUUCUGAGAAUUAAUCAGGGAGUUAACUACUUGGAGCAGACAAAUAAACCAUCUGCCAGACAAGGUUUGGCUCUUGAUGCUGAGGAAGUAGCUGUUGAUUCCUCCUGGGGGUUACACUGCAUAUUUUGAAUAUGCUAAUUCAAAGUUUCAUUUUAGAACUGGCAGAAAUACUUAAAAAAUUAAAGGAUCAAAAUAGUUUAUUUUCCAAAGCUAAACCUAUUUAAAUCCAAUGAGCAAGCAUCACAACUCUGGCUUAAUUUUAAUUCCAAUGUUUUAUAUUCAUGUUCUUUUUAAAAGCGAACAAUAAACAAAAGAUUUAGAUGACCAUACUUUCCAUAUUUACACCAUGAAAGGGGAUUUUCACUUCUAUACUGUUUUAUUGUCUCUCAAAUAGAUUUUGUUGAUAUGGAUGCUGAUGCAAGACAUGUAAGUCAUAGAGCUGAAUUAGACUGUAUUGAACAGAGUUCCAAAUGCCUUCUGUUUCACUCCUCUAUACUGUAUUUCUGUCACAGUCAAUCAUAGACCCCUGCAGACAUAGGAGAGGAGAUGCACACGGAGAGUAACUCCGAGCUUAUUUCUAUGAAUAAGGGAAUUACCACCAUACACAUAGUGGCUUCAGAAAGUAUUCAUACCUCUUGACUUUUUCCACAUUUUGUUGUAAUACAACCUGGAUUUAAAAAUGAUGAAAUUAGAUUUUUAGUCACUGGACUAUACACAAUACCCCAUAAUGUCAAAGUGAAAUAGUUUUUUUAAAAUUAUUAUUAAAAAAUGAAAAGCAGAAAUUUCUUGAGUCAAAAAGUUUUCAACCCCUUUGUUAUGGCAAGCCUAUAUACAGUGAUUUCUGAAGUGUAUUCAGACCCCUUGACUUUUUCUACAUUUUGUUACGUUUUUAUAAUCCUCAUCAAUCUACACAAAAAAAGCCCAGAAAUAACUUAUUUACAUAUUCAAACCUUUGCUAUGAGACUUGAAAUUGAGCUCAGGUGCAUCCUGUUUCCACAGAUCAUCCUUGAGAUGUCUCUACAACUUCAUUGGAGUCCACCUGUGGUAAAUUCAAUUGAUUGGACAUGAUUUGGAAAGGCACAUACCUGUCUAUAUAAGGUCCCACAGUUGACAGUGCAUGUCAGAACAAAAAUCAAGCCACGAGGUCGAAGGAAUUGUCCGUAGAGCUCCGAGACAGGAUUUUGUCAAGCCACAGAUCUGGGGAAGGGUACCAAAACAUUUCUGCAGCAUUGAAGGUCCCCAAGAACACAGUGGCCUCCAUCAUUCUUAAAUGGAAGAAGUUUGGAACCACCAAGACUCUUCCUAGAGCUGGCCGCCCGGCCAAACUGAGCAAUCGGGGAGAAGGGCCUUGGCCAGGGAGGUGACCAAGCACCCGAUGGUCACUCUGACAGAGUUCCAGCAUUCCUCUGUAGAGAUGGGAGAACCUUCCAGAAGGACAGCCAGACAGAAGCCACUCCUCAGUAAAAGGCACAUGACAGCCCACUUGGAGUUUGCCCAAAAGGCACUUUAAAGGACUCUGACCAUCAGAAACGAGAUUCUCUGGUCUGAUGAAACCAAGAUUGAACUGGCAUGGAUCAACAACAUCGUAGUUACUCCAUAAUACUAACAAAUGACAGAGUGAAAAGAAGGAAGCCUGUACAAAAUAAAAAUAUUCCAUAACAUGCAUCCUGUUUGCAAUAAGGCGCUAAAGUAAAAAUGUUGCUAAGAAAUUGACUUUAUGUCCUCAAUACAAAGUGUUAUGUUUGGGACAAAUCCAACACAACACAUUACUAAGUACCCCUCUUCAUAUUUUCAAGCAUGGGGGUGGCUGCAUUAUGUUAUGGGUAUGCGUGUCAUUGACAAGCACUAGGCAGUUUUUUAGGAUAAAAGUUAUCAGAAUAUAGCACAGGCAAAAUUCUAGAGGAAAACCUGGUUCAGUCUGCUUUCCAACAGACACGGGGAGACAAAUUCACCUUCCAGCAGGACCUAAAAAUACUGGAGGCCAAAUAUACACUGGAGUUCAACUAAGACGACAUUGAAUGUUCAUGGUUACAGUUUUAACUUCAAUUGGCUUAAAUCUAUGGGAAGACUUGACAAUGGCUGUCUAGCAAUGGUCAACAACCAACUAGAGAGAGCUUGAAGAAUUGUAAAAAGAAAAAUGUGAAAAUAUUGUACAAUCCAGGUGUGCAAAGCCCUUAGGGACUUACCCAGAAAGACACAUCUAUUAUUGCUGCCGAAGGUGAUUCUAACAUGUAUUGACUCAGGGGAGUGAACACUUAUGUAAAUGAGAUAUUUCUGUAUUUCAUUUCAAUAAAUCUGCAAAAAAAUCUAAAAACACGUUUUUACUUCGCCAUUAUGGGGUACUGUGUGUAGAUCGGUGAUCUCAGGCUAUAACACAACCGAAUGUGGAAUGAGUCAAGAGGUAUUGUAGAAAAGGCUCACAUUUGUCUGACACUGAAAUUAGAUAUUUCUGUAUUUCAUUUUCAAUAAAUCUGAAGAAAAAAAAAAUAUUUAUUUACUUUGUCAUUAUGGGGUAUUGUGUGUAGAUCGGUGAACUCAGGCUGUAACACAACAAAAUGUGGAAUAAGUCAAGGGGUAUUGUAGAAAAGGCUCUCAUUUGUGUGACACUUUUUAGUUAACUGUCCCUUUAAUUGCACUUUUUAGUUAACUAUUAAAUGGACAGUUAACUAAAAAGUGCAAUUAAAGGUACAGUUAACUGUCCCAUUAAUUGCAGGCACCUCUGAGCCAUAGAGAUGUACACUACCGGUCAAAAGUUUUAGAACACCUACUUAUUCAAGGGUUUUUCUUUAUUUUUACUAUUUUCUACAUUGUAGAAUAAUAGUGAAGAC
rnacentral:lncRNA from 1 species